rnacentral:lncRNA from 1 species
UGGAAACAAAGAUAUCACACAAAAGGAAGCUUAGAAUGGAUCUAGAACAGAUUAAACAAAUAAGAAAAGACUGAAAACAAUAAGAAAAUGGAGUGUGCUGAAACUGUUUGAUGAAAUUUCUAAAUUGUUUGAUGAAAUGCCACAAUGAACUGUAGAUUUUGUGUUUUUCUGAUUUUUUAUUCUUCCAAAUUGGAUUGCAGGGGUUUGUUUGCUUUUUAU